rnacentral:rRNA from 1 species
UACGUAGGGUGCGAGCGUUAAUCGGAAUUACUGGGCGUAAAGCGUGCGCAGGCGGUUGUGUAAGUCAGAUGUGAAAUCCCCGGGCUCAACCUGGGAAUUGCAUUUGAGACUGCACGGCUAGAGUGUGUCAGAGGGGGGUAGAAUUCCACGUGUAGCAGUGAAAUGCGUAGAGAUGUGGAGGAAUACCGAUGGCGAAGGCAGCCCCCUGGGAUAACACUGACGCUCAUGCACGAAAGCGUGGGGAGCAAACAGG